GGCUGAGACCCCCGCGGGGCAGGGAUGGAUGUGGACUCGGGCUGGGCCGUGUUGGACGCGCUCUCCUCCUCCUCCUCUCUCUCUGCAGCGGUGCCCGCCGGAGGAGCACGGCGCGAUGCUCAGGUGGGUCCCGCCGCCCUGGGACCUGCCUCGCCAGAGGCACCCUCUCACCCGGGGCUCCCCUUCUCUCCCGCUUCCCUCACCCCCGCUUCCCGCAGGGCCGCUCUGGGUCACGGGGCCGCCGCACUGAGCUUGGGCCGGGGUUCGGCCACGCUGCAGCUGCCGGAGGAGCCGCGGUGCCCGGCCCUGGCCCUCGCCCAGCUGCCCGCCGCCGAGGCCUGCAGCCAGCUGCAGGCGCUGGUCUUCGGCAUGGCCGGCUGUAUCGAGAGCCUGGAGAGGCGUCUGGAAGCAGUGGAGAUGUUAGCAUCUUCUUGCAGCCGUGAGAAGAACGCUGCCCGGAGCCAGCAGCUCUUCCUGCCAGGUAGGUACCGCCAGGGGCACCUGGCUUGGUCCUGCAAUCUUUUGACUUCUCCUCCCUGGAGGCUGCUGGUCCUGUAUCCAUGUGCUCUCCAAGACACUCUUGAGUGCCCUCGGCUGUGGCUGCUGGCAGCCACCCAUUGUCCUGGUGCUCUUCCAGGCAGAGCAGUGGCAAGGCUUAGUGUGGUGGCUCUCAGGGUGUCUGGGAUGCUUAGGUCAAAGGCUGGGCAUUGCCAGCCUCAGAAGGAGGGCAGGCUUUGUUGUGCUUCCAGACUGGAGGCUGUGGCAGAUCCAUGGCUCUUUUUGAUAGAGGAGCCCAAGUUUGGCCCUUUCUUGAAGUCCGUCAGCCCUCUGCGGCUGCUGGUCCUGCCCGGCUCGGUUCCCGGAGGCUCCCUCUGGCUCUGGAGGGACUGGCAGGGGUGCCAGAGCUCCUGGGUAACCUGAAAUCUGUGUCCCGCCUGUUCCUGACCGAGGCAGACCCCAGCCCCAAGAAGAGUAAGGCUUCUGGCUCAGCUUUGCCCGCCAAAAGGAAGGUCCCAGGGGAGUCUCUGAUUAACCCUGGUUUCAAAAGCAAGAAGGCGCCAUCUGGAGUGAAUUUCGAGGACUCCUGAUGGGUAUCAUCCUGUG